rnacentral:tRNA from 1 species
GGAGGGGUGCCCGAGUGGCUAAAGGGGGGCAGACUGUAAAUCUGUUGGCUUACGCCUACACUGGUUCGAAUCCAGUCCCCUCCACCA